CAGUAGCCGCGGGAAUACGAACCGUGCGAACGUUAUUCGGAAUCACUGGGCUUAAAGCGCGUGUAGGCGGGCCGUCACGUCGUUCGCUGAAAUCCCCCGGCUCAACCGGAACAGUGCCUUGAAUACUGGGAGACUUGAGUUUGGCAGAGGAUAGUGGAAUUCCUGGUGUAGCGGUGAAAUGCGUAGAUAUCAGGAGGAACACCCAUGGCGAAGGCAGCUAUCUGGGCUAAAACUGACGCUGAGGUGCGAAAGCGUGGGGAGCGAACGGGAUUAGAUACCCCCGUAGUCCCUGUCUCUUAUA
rnacentral:rRNA from 1 species